rnacentral:rRNA from 1 species
GCUGGCGGCAUGGCUAAGACAUGCAAGUCGAACGGACCUUACAAUUGGGUAACCGAAAGUUUGGUUAGUGGCGAAAGGGUGCGGAAUGAAUAGGUAACGUACCCCAAACUUCAGGAUAGCGUCUAGGUGCUUGCACCUUUCCGAAAGGGGCGGUAAUACUGAAUAAUAUCAUCAGCUAAAUGUUGAUGAUCAAAGAUUUAUCGGUUUGGGAGCGGCCUAUUUCCUAUCAGCUUGUUGGUGAGGUAAUGGCUCACCAAGGCGACGACGGGUAGCGGGACUGAGAGGUUGGCCCGCCACAUCGGGACUGAGACACUGCCCGGACCUCCACGGAGGGCUGCAGUAACGAAUAUUGUGCAAUGGGCGAAAGCCUGACACAGCAAUGCCGCGUGUAGGAUGAAGCCCCUCGGGGUGUAAACUACUGUCAGGGGUUAGAAAGUCUUCGGAUUGAUCAGCCCCAGAGGAAGUCACGGCUAACUUCGUGCCAGCAGCCGCGGUAAUACGAAGGUGGCGAGCGUUGUUCGGAAUCAUUGGGCUUAAAGCGCGCGUAGGCGGAAUAGAAAGUGUUUUGUGAAAUCCCUCGGCUUAACCGAGGAAUUGCUUGGCAAACUACUAUUCUUGAGGCAAAUA